GGGCAAAUUACUCCGUCCCUGGAUUGUAUAGCCUUAGUGCACUGCAAACUCCUGUGGUCUGCGGUGCUUUUCCUCCGCCUUGGGAAUCUGGGUUUUGAUAAGCGCCGCAGCAGAGGCGAAACCGAUUUUUAAACUGGGUUAUUGUGCCGUGACAUCCCCCACCCCAAUUCAUCAGGGAUCCUGGGGGUGUAGUAAGAAGCAGCGAGACUGAAACAUCAGGAAAUGAAGAAGGAAAUGGUGAAGAGGAGAAGAGCUGGCGGCGGGCAAAUCAAGAGAAACAGCAAGCCGGCUGGGGGAAAAAACCCCGCCAAAGCAGCGUUCAUUUUCCGCUAAGAGCACAGGUAACGUUUGGGACUACAUUACCCAAGCGCCUUUCUUCCAGCAAGCCCCGCCUAUCUCUCUAUCUCUCUCCGCUUAUUGGUGUUGGCCUUUGGCGUUCUGCCGGACACGUCGUCCCGAUUGGCGGAAAGAGCCUGCCACUCGGCGUUGCUACAGAGACGCGAGUCAAACCUGGGCGAAGGCGCUAUGGCCCCAGUGGACAGCUACAGCCUCGCGCCCUGCUCGGGUUCUUUCCUGGCGCUUGCAAAGGAGGGAUCCGGAGUGGAAAGCAGAGCUGUUUAAAGAAGCUUUCCACUCCAGUCAGUGCCUCAGAGGCAGAAGGCCACCCAGGGAGUUAAUGGCUGUUAUGAAGUUGAACCCACAUCUUCUGGACCAGGACCAACCCCUCCAGUUAUCUCCUUCUGCCAUCUAUUUGUGUGUAGUUUGCACGGCUUUCCUAAGGCACACAUGGAAGUUGCUCACCAAAUAAACAGAAGUGAAAGGCGGCAAGGCACCACCACCAUUUUUUUAUUUUUUGAAGAAAGCUGAAUCCUUGGCCACCCCAUCUAGGGAACUCCUAGGUUGCUAUAGUGAAGAGAAUGUGAAAGCAUCUUGCUUCUGACAGUAGCCCAACCGCCACCAUUGGGAAGCCUGCAAUCGGGACAUUAAGGGAAUUGUCCUGUCUGGUUGAUGUCUGGAGCAUCUAAUACUGAGAUAUACAGCCUCUGAAACUGGAGGUUCCUUUUUCUUUAUAUAUUUUUAACCUGCCCUUCCUCCCAAAGUAGCCCAGAGCGGUAAACACAAAAGUGAUUAAACACAAAGAAAAAACAUAUUAAAAAAACCCUCAAAAGCAUUAAAAACACACACACUAAAAUGAUCCAUGUAGCUAUUGAUUGAACUAUCUCCUAUGCCACGGAAUAACGCUUAGGACAACUUUCCUUUUGCAACCUGUUGGUGUCCUUACAUUUUGGACUACAACUCCCAUCAGCCCUGGCCAACAUAAUAAUUAGGGAUGUUGGCUUUUGUUGAUUGCUAUAUAUUGUCUGGUUUGGUAUUUGUUUUGUUAUGUUUUUAAAACCAAUAAAGCAUUAAAAAUAAUAAUAAUUAGGAUGUUGGGAACUGUAGUCCAAAUCAUCUGGUGGAUGUCAGGUUGGGGAACGGUGGCACAGGGAGAAAAGCACUAUAUGAAUAAUGAUUAUCAGCUUUUCUCAUUAAAUAAGCUAGCUUAGUGUUGUUUUGCUGUUUCUAGAAAUGUCCUAUAGGUGACAGAACAGAGUAAAAUAGCUUCUUCACUGUAUCCAGAAUAAUAAUUCUUUAUUAUAUCUGAUAUAAUAUAAGUUUCCCCACAGGGAUCUGGGUGGCCACAGUGAGAACUAAGGGGGCCAGAAGCCUGAUCUCUCCAUAUGAGGCUUUAAUUAUGGUUUUAAUUCUGUCUUUAAUGUAUUAGUUAUAAUGAUACCUCACCAUUCCCCUGAGGAGCUUAAGGUGGUGUGCAGGAGUCUCUUCCUCCCCAUCUUGUGCUUCACAACAAACCCGGGAGGUAGGUUAGGCCCAGAGACCUUGGCCCAAUGAAUCUUCAUGGCCGAGUGGGGAAUCGAACCCUGGUCUCUCAGGUCGUAGUCCAGCACUCUAGCUAUUAUAGCACCACACUGGAUCUCAUUAGAGAAAAAAAAAAAAAAUGGCUUAGAUUUUUCUGCCCAGGUUUGUUUGGGGAACUUCCAAAUGAAAGCAGAACACAGAAGCCGCUGUUUUCCCUAUCUGCGUCUACAUCUAAAGUGCCGCCUUGAUUACACUUUAGAGCACAAUCCAUCUUCAGAGGUGAAUUUAUAGAGAAUCUUUAUGAGGAAGAACAGCCAUUGAUUUGUUCUGAGCUUGCGGACGAAGCCAAGAGCCGACUCUUCGAGUGGCUAAAAUUUACUUAACUCCGUUAGCAUUUUUAAGACGGCAGGCUUGUUUUACGCGGGGCGGACUUCCUGCACAACGAGGAGCGGUGAGUGAUGUUGACAGCAGAGGCAGAAGCGCCUGCUAAGUGUUUAAAUGAUGACACCAUUAUGUGAAGUGAUUUUUGAAAUGAGAAGAUUUCGGCCCAGAAUUACCGCGGCUCUCUCAUCUCCUUUUCAAAUCUUUACUUUGCCAGCUACGCGGAUGAUGAUUGAUUUGUUUGUGACAGAUUGCAGGAAACAGCCAUUGAUUUUUCAAUAUUUUUACCUUAAAAUUAUUUACAGUUGUAACCAUGGGGAUGUAUUUCCAUGGGCUGUUGGCUUCUGAAAGACGAGGGAUAAUAUUCCCUGGUCCCUGACAAGACAAAUUACCUGUAAUGAGUUCAGUAGCUGAAGGGUAUGCUUUUAUUUUAAAAUAUGUCAAUAACCUCAGUGACUAAACGAAUAUUGAUUCAGCAUAAUGAAGCCUGAGUAAUGUGAAAAUGAGCUCUUCAGGGGUAGGCAAAGGGGGAAGGCUAUCCCCCUCCCUUUUCUUUCCCUUGCUUACAGCAAUGACGCUUUUCAUUCUUUAUGGCUAGCUGUCGAAAAAUAUGCAGCGUUAUAAACAAGUCACUGGCUGUUAAACAAUAGAGGGAAUAAACGGAGGCUCUCGACCCCAAAGGCUGGUAUGCACAAUGCAUUUCUAAGAUAGCAAGAACAGUCUCGGAAGUCGGUUCUCUGUCUUAAAGCAAUGCUCUGCAUGUGGAAGUUUCAACCAAAAUUGCAUUCGCCACACAAAGCCUGAAAUGCUAGGGACUCAUUAAGAUCUGUUCUUCAGGGUGAAUAUUUGGGCAAAAUUUAGUCUGUGUGUCCAGGAAAGAGAGGGGAGUGUAGAAGUCCAAAAACAGCUUUUACAAGUUGCCGUUUUCUCCUCCUGCCACCCUGUUUUGUGGUUAAAGUGUUGGACUAGGACCUGGGAGACCAAGUUUGAAUCCCUACUUGGCCAUGAAGCUUGGGCCAGUC